GAAAUUCGACGGAUGGAAAUGAAAAUGGAAUUUGGGAAAAUGAUUUGUAUGGUGUGAAGAUGAGAAAGUUUGGAGCUUUUGUGGGGUUCAAGGGCUUUUUCGGAAGGUGGAAAAAUGGGCUUUGAAGGUUUGAAGGUGUGAAAAUUGUGAAGAAAGGGAGUUUUCCCCGAGCUUAUAUAGACGUUGUGGCGGGCGCCACAGCAUCUAUGGCGGGCGCCACAAGGCAAAAUUCGGCUUGGC
rnacentral:lncRNA from 1 species